GUUACCACAGGGAUAACUGGCUU
rnacentral:ncRNA from 5 species